CCCGAAAGAUCGAACGGGGAGAUUCAUCGCAAGCGGGGUCGGCUUCGCCGCGGCCCGUGAUGCCGCGGACCUCGCGCCCGUGGCACGCGGCCGCGUCCCGCAUGCCCGACCUCGUAGGCGUGCACUUCUCCUCCAGUAGGACGUCGCGACCCGUCGGGCGUCGGCAUGAGGCCCGAAUGUGUCGACUGUACCGGCCCUAGAGCCGGUGCAGACCUUCGGCCGCCCGGCCGGCUGCCCGGCGGUACACGCACGGUAUGGAGCCGCACAGAACUUGCGUCCAGCCCGUCGCAAGCGCGGCCAGCGCAUCACCGGUGGUCGGACAAAGCGCCGUCCCCGGGCCUGGCCAGCUGUUGGCAGACGGUGACCUCGGACCGGCUCGCGGAUACCGGUCGGCGACGCUACCGCUUUGGGUACUUUCA
rnacentral:rRNA from 1 species